rnacentral:rRNA from 1 species
GCACCACAAGAACGCGUGGAGCAUGUGGCUUAAUUUGACUCAACGCGGGAAAUCUUACCGGGUCCGGACACACUGAGGAUUGACAGGCAAUAUCUCAUGUUAACGGUAAGUUUACUUACCGCUUACAUCAGUGUUAAAUAUGCUAGUCCUUUCAUGAUUAUGUGAUAGGUGGUGCAUGGCCGUUCUUAGUUCGUGGAGUGAUCUGUCUGCUUAAUUGCUUUCACUAAGGGCCCAUAAAUUCAAGGUAGUUAGCUCUCGUCGCUCUAUGGACCCCUUAACUCCAAUAUUCUUAUUGUGUUAAGCGCGUGUCUUUAUUUUAGAGUUUUAAGACACUGCGCAUGCUGUUGGGCUCUGA